rnacentral:rRNA from 1 species
GAGUUUGAUCCUGGCUCAGGAUGAACGCUGGCGGCGUGCCUAAUACAUGCAAGUCGAACGAGGUGCUUUUGUAGCAAUACGAAAGUAUCCUAGUGGCGAACGGGUGAGUAACGCGUUGGUGACCUACCCCAAAGUGUGGGAUAACAGUCCGAAAGGAUUGCUAAUACCGCAUGUGGUCAUUGGAUCUAGAAACCGAUGACUAAAGGAGCAAUUCGCUUUGGGAGGGACCUGCGUCCCAUCAGCUAGUUGGUGAGGUAACGGCUCACCAAGGCGACGACGGGUAGGGGACCUGAGAGGGUGGCCCCCCACAAUGGAACUGAAACACGGUCCAUACACCUACGGGUGGCAGCAGUAGGGAAUAUUGCUCAAUGGGCGAAAGCCUGAAGCAGCAACGCCGCGUGUGCGAUGAAGGCCUUCGGGUCGUAAAGCACUUUUCUGCGAGAUGAGAAAGGACAGUAUCGUAGGAAUAAGUCUCGGCUAACUACGUGCCAGCAGCCGCGGUAAAACGUAGGAGGCAAGCGUUAUCCGGAUUCACUGGGCGUAAAGCGCGUGCAGGUGGCGCGGUAAGUUGGGUGUGAAAUCUCCCGGCUCAACUGGGAGAGGUCAUUCAAUACUACCGUGCUUGAGAGCAGAAGAGGAAGAUGGAAUUCCCGGUGUAGUGGUGAAAUGCGUAGAUAUCGGGAGGAACACCAGUGGCGAAGGCGAUCUUCUGGUCUGUUUCUGACACUCAGACGCGACAGCUAGGGUAGUAAACGGGAUUAGAGACCCCGGUAAUCCUAGCCGUAAACGAUGUGAACUUG